CACACACAUAGAUAGUAGAAAAUCGUGGCUAAUGGAGAUGGGCAUGUUCUCUCACCACGUGGGCCAUUGCGGGGGCAUUUCCCAUUUCGCCUUCUGUCUCUCUCUGUCACUUGUUUAAUCUUCCUCUUCUUCUUCGUGCACAAAUUCCUGUAUUGUUCUUUAUGCGGGUGCGGCUAAGAUGUCACUUUUUGGUGGCAAGACAAAAGCAGAAGCUACGGCGGUUUUCUUCUUCUUCUUCUUCUUCCUAUUCAUUUUUGUUUUCCAGAUUUGGGUUUGCUCCGACUGCCAAGCUGAAGCUGUCAGGAUUUUUCCGGCAACCAGUACAAAACUUAUCAACAAAGCUACAACCAACUUCACCAGUGCUAGUUCAAUGACGACGAAGAGCUUCAAACAAGACCUAAUCCAUAAGUACUUUCAUGGAAGAGCUUUCAACAUCAACACAACAACAACUCAUCGUGAUGAUAAAGGCUUUGAACAAGAUAAACGAAGAGUUCCCAAUUGCCCAGAUCCUCUCCACAACUAGUACAAUCAUUAUUAUUCAGUUUUUUUUUUUUUUUUUAAAAGAUGAAUUUUAUGCUCCUUAUAUGUCCAAAAUACCCACGUUUUUCUCUUCAUUCUCUUGCUAGUCUUUCCACUUUCUCUCGUAAUAUUAGGGGGAAAAACGAGGGUAUUUUGGUAUUUGAAUGAUCACUCUCAUAUUGCUUGAAUUAAUCAAAAACCAAAAUAUGAUCCAAUAUUAUCUUCAUGGUGAGAGUCUACUUGUUGAAGAAGAAGAAGAAGAAGCAAGGAAGCUGCAGAAGUGAAAUAUGUAAUUUGGAAAUUAGUAAAAGAUAAUUAAACAAUGUACUUACAGAGAUUUUCAUGAACUUUCACAUUGGAUUUAGUUUGAAUUAUUGAAUUGGAUCUCUCUCUUUUUUUUAUUGUGUAGCUAAAAUUUAGUAUAUGGAAGUAUUAAUAGCUUAUUCUCGA